GACGAACGCUGGCGGCGUGCUUAACACAUGCAAGUCGAACGGAAAGGCCCUGCUUUUGUGGGGUGCUCGAGUGGCGAACGGGUGAGUAACACGUGAGUAACCUGCCCUUUACUUUGGGAUAACUUCAGGAAACUGGGGCUAAUACCGGAUAGGAGCUCCUGCUGCAUGGUGGGGGUUGGAAAGUUUCGGCGGUUGGGGAUGGACUCGCGGCUUAUCAGCUUGUUGGUGGGGUAGUGGCUUACCAAGGCUUUGACGUGUAGCCGGCCUGAGAGGGUGACCGGCCACAUUGGGACUGAGAUACGGCCGAGGCUCCUACGGGAGGCAGCUGUGGGGAAUAUUGAACAAUGGGCGGAAGCCUGAUGCAGCAACGCCGCGUGCGGGAUGACGGCCUUCGGGGUGUAAAACGCUUUCGCCUGUGACGAAGCGUGAGUGACGGUAAUGGGUAAAGAAGCACCGGCUAACUACGUG
rnacentral:rRNA from 1 species